rnacentral:rRNA from 1 species
GAUGAACGCUGGCGGCGUGCCUAAUACAUGCAAGUCGAGCGAACGGACGAGAAGCUUGCUUCUCUGAUGUUAGCGGCGGACGGGUGAGUAACACGUGGAUAACCUACCUAUAAGACUGGGAUAACUUCGGGAAACCGGAGCUAAUACCGGAUAAUAUUUUGAACCGCAUGGUUCAAAAGUGAAAGACGGUCUUGCUGUCACUUAUAGAUGGAUCCGCGCUGCAUUAGCUAGUUGGUAAGGUAACGGCUUACCAAGGCAACGAUGCAUAGCCGACCUGAGAGGGUGAUCGGCCACACUGGAACUGAGACACGGUCCAGACUCCUACGGGAGGCAGCAGUAGGGAAUCUUCCGCAAUGGGCGAAAGCCUGACGGAGCAACGCCGCGUGAGUGAUGAAGGUCUUCGGAUCGUAAAACUCUUUUAUUAGGGAAGAACAUAUGUGUAAGUAACUGUGCACAUCUUGACGGUACCUAAUCAGAAAGCCACGGCUAACUACGUG